CUUACGUCGUAACUACAACCCCCUUCCCUUUCAUGAAUGUGACCUACCGAAUUAGACUAUUUAGCUGAUUUGUAAUUACAUAAGCAACACGACGGGUGCCACAUGUGGAGCAGGAUCUGCUUACCCUUCCGGAGUACCUGAGAUCACCCCUAGUUUUUUGUGGGGUUAGUGUUGUUUAUUCUUUAGUUUUCUAUGUUGUGUCAUGUGUACUAUUGUUUUUCUG
rnacentral:lncRNA from 1 species